UACGAAGGGGGCUAGCGUUGUUCGGAUUUACUGGGCGUAAAGCGCACGUAGGCGGAUUGUUAAGUCGGGGGUGAAAUCCUGGAGCUCAACUCCAGAACUGCCUCCGAUACUGGCAAUCUCGAGUUCCGGAAGAGGUAAGUGGAACUCCUAGUGUAGAGGUGGAAUUCGUAGAUAUUAGGAAGAACACCAGUGGCGAAGGCGGCUUACUGGCCGGUACU
rnacentral:rRNA from 1 species